GAGAAAGGCCAGGAUGCUAGCUGGACCUUGUGGGUAGGAACUGAGGGAUCCUGGAGUCCAGCAUGGGCUUUGAUAUGCAACCACAUCUGUCCCUUCUGACAGAGGUAAGGGAAAUGACUCCUUUUGGCAGACAGGAACCAGCUUGCCAAGUUCCUGAGGGAUACUGACUUUUAUCUGCCCACCAGAAACCUCCUAGAGUCCAGUUUGAUUCAUUUCUGGAUAUUUGGACUGCUUGUGCGACCUAACAUAAGGUCCUUCAAGAAUGGAGAUAGGAUACAAAUUUAGGUUGAAUUCCCACAGAGCAUGGACUUCUUGAAGCUGAUUUUAAUAGUGUCGCUCUUUGUACAUUUGGACACUAGAUGGCGCCAUUUGCCUUUAUACAAGACCACUUUUCUGCAAGUUGGAUGUGAUAGCUAUUUUUUUAAAUCUUACUGUAUUUAAUUUUGUUAUACAGUUUUCAAAUGAAUGAAAACCUACCCACUAGUUAAAGGUUAAUAACAGAACUGCUUGAAGAGAAAAAAAUCAGCUUUCUCUAAUGGAGUGACACUGGAUAUAUCAACCACUCCAGGAUUGGUCUCAUGUUGACCAACCAAUAAUGGAUUCCAGGUUUCUUGUAGUCUUGCUCAGGUCUACACCAGCUGUCUGGAAACUAACAGGCUGUGUUAAACUGCGAUCAAACUGAUCUCCGAGUCAUGAUCCUUCUGCCUCAGCCUCCCAAACGCUAGGGUUACAGGGAUGGAGACGCUGCAGCCAGCUGUUGAUGAGCACUGAACAACAAUCUUGCCAAGAGAUCGAGUCAUCCAGUGUGAGGUGGCUUGAAUAUUUCGAAAGUGCCAUUUUACCCAGUGUGGCCAGUCACGCGAACAUACAUCACCCAACACGCCCACAUUUUGGUUGUUUCUUUAAAUAAAUAAUAAAAAAGGCUUCAUUUUCAUCUUUAACAGUAAGUACUAACUUGCUGCAAAUGUGCCUCUCUGCUGAGCAAUUAGCAAAGAAAUUUCCCCUCUUUUGUCCCUACACCUCUCCAUCACAGACUGAAGUUCCUCUUUCUAUUUUCAGCAAAUUGUUGGUGCUCUGAUGUCGAGUUCGGUACCAGUAAAUGUCAAGUUCUGCUAUUUUGUUCUGUUCUGUUCUGUUCUUUCUUUCUUUCUUUCCUUAUCGCUUUGUGUUUUUUAUGUGUUUGCUUUUUGUUUUUGUUUUGACAACAUGGCUUAUUCUGUAACCUCAAA
ensembl:lncRNA